GUGCUUGCUUCGGCAGCACAUGUACUAAAAUACCAUGCAGCAGAGAAGAUUAGCAUGGCCUCUUCAUAAGGAUGACAUGCAACUUCGUGAAACGUUCCAUAUUUUU